rnacentral:tRNA from 1 species
GGAGAAGUGGCCGAGUGGUUUAAGGCAACGGUCUUGAAAACCGUCGUACCGAGAGGUACCGUGGGUUCGAAUCCCACCUUCUCCUCCA